UACGUAGGCAGCGAGCGUUGUUCGGAAUUACUGGCGGUAAGAGUGUGUAGGCGGUGCUCCAGUCUGUUGUGAAAUCUCCGGCUUAACUGGGAGGGUGCAGCGGAAACUAGAGUGCUAGAGGGUGGGAGAGGGUAAGCGGAAUUCCUGGUGUAGCGGUGAAAUGCGUAGAUAUCAGGAGGAACACCAAUGGCGAAGGCAGCUCGCUGGGACGUGAACUGACGCUGAGACGCGAAAGCGUGGGGAGCAAACAGG
rnacentral:rRNA from 1 species